rnacentral:sRNA from 1 species
GCUUUUCUCCGGAGGUCGCGCGCCUGAGAGCCCGCGCUGUCUGCCGCCGCUGCCUGAGUCGACUCUGCGCCGCCCGCCGCGAUGGAGGCCGCCGCCCAGUUCUUCGUCGAGAGCCCGGACGUGGUCUACGGCCCCGAGGCCAUCGAGGCGCAAUACGAGUACCGGACGACGCGCGUCAGCCGCGAGGGUGGCGUUCUCAAGGUGCACCCCACGUCCACGCGCUUCACCUUCCGGACCGCCCGGCAGGUGCCCCGGCUCGGGGUCAUGCUUGUCGGCUGGGGCGGGAACAACGGCUCCACACUCACCGCCGCGGUGCUGGCCAACCGACUGCGUCUGUCCUGGCCCACGCGCAGCGGCCGCAAGGAGGCCAACUACUACGGCUCGCUGACUCAGGCGGGCACCGUGAGCCUGGGCCUGGACGCCGAGGGCCAGGAGGUGUUCGUGCCCUUCAGCGCGCUGCUGCCCAUGGUGGCGCCCAACGACCUCGUGUUCGAUGGUGGGCGGAGCCCUGGGCCGGGGUGGGGCGGGUUGGGAGAUGGGGUCUGGAGGGGCCCAGGAUCCGGGCAGGGCCGAGUGUGAGGGUCCCCCCAGGCUGGGACAUCUCGUCGCUGAACCUGGCCGAGGCGAUGCGGCGCGCGAAGGUGCUGGAUUGGGGGCUGCAGGAGCAACUGUGGCCGCACAUGGAGGCCCUGCGACCCCGGCCUUCUGUUUACAUCCCCGAAUUCAUCGCGGCCAACCAGAGCGCGCGCGCGGACAACCUCAUCCCAGGCUCGCGUGCGCAGCAGGUGCUGUCCCAUCCCGCAUCCCUUGCUCCCUGCCACCUGUUCUUCGCCACUCGGUUCCCCCUUUUUGCCCCACCCCGCGAAUCCAGGCCUCACUUGACACCCGGGGAACUGAGUCCGGCCUCUGUGAGUCCGAGAGCAUGUACAACCAACUUCCCUACAUCCUCUCCAUCCUCCCCACACCCUCUCCAUCCAACCCACAGCUGGAGCAGAUCCGCAGGGACAUCCGAGACUUCCGGUCUAGCGCAGGGCUGGACAAAGUCAUCGUGCUGUGGACGGCAAACACGGAGCGCUUCUGUGAGGUGAUUCCAGGCCUCAACGACACAGCCGAGAACCUGCUGCGCACCAUUGAGCUUGGUCUGGAGGUGUCGCCCUCCACGCUCUUCGCCGUGGCCAGCAUCCUGGAGGGCUGUGCCUUCCUCAAUGGGUCCCCACAGAACACCCUGGUGCCCGGAGCCCUUGAGCUCGCGUGGCAGCGCCGGGUUUUUGUGGGCGGAGAUGACUUCAAGUCAGGCCAGACCAAAGUCAAGUCCGUGCUCGUGGACUUCCUCAUUGGCUCCGGCCUCAAGACCAUGUCCAUCGUGAGUUACAACCACCUGGGCAACAACGAUGGGGAGAACCUGUCGGCGCCAUUGCAGUUCCGCUCUAAGGAGGUGUCCAAGAGCAACGUGGUGGACGACAUGGUGCAGAGCAACCCAGUGCUCUAUACGCCCGGCGAGGAGCCUGACCACUGCGUGCGUGGGGCGCGGUCGCGGGCGCGGGGUUGCCCGGCGAGGGGUGGCAGGGACUCGGGCAAACUCCUGCUGCACUCCAGGUGGUCAUCAAGUAUGUGCCGUACGUGGGUGACAGCAAGCGCGCGCUGGAUGAGUAUACCUCGGAGCUGAUGCUGGGCGGAACCAACACACUGGUGCUGCACAACACAUGCGAGGUGCGGCGCGGCUUCAGGGGCUGCUAUGGGAGGCAGGGCUUGGCCACCGCCCCCAUCUCCUGACCCACCCGCCCCGCAGGACUCCCUGCUGGCCGCACCCAUCAUGCUGGACCUGGCGCUGCUGACCGAGCUGUGCCAGCGCGUGAGCUUCUGCACUGACGUGGACCCCGAGCCGCAGACCUUCCACCCCGUGCUGUCCCUGCUCAGCUUCCUCUUCAAGGCGCCACUGGUGCCGCCUGGCAGCCCGGUGGUCAAUGCGCUUUUCCGCCAGCGCAGCUGCAUCGAGAACAUCCUCAGGGCUUGCGUGGGGCUCCCGCCACAGAACCACAUGCUUCUGGAGCACAAGAUGGAGCGCCCAGGGCCCAGCCUCAAGCGAGUCGGACCUGUGGCUGCCACCUACCCUGUGUUGAACAACAAAGGACCAGUACCCGCUGCCACCAAUGGCUGCACCGGUGAUGCCAAUGGGCAUCCACAAGUGGAGGAGCCCCCGAUGCCCACUACCUGAGGCCCUGGUCACACAGUUUCCCGGCUCUUCCUCCCUGCUGCCCCUCAGGACCCUACCUUGAAGGCCCCCACAAAGACAAUAAAGGUGCUGCCACUC